CUCAAAUCAGACACUAAAAAUGCCAAAUUUAACAUUAUAUUUAAGGAUUUUUAAUAUUUGUUAAUAAUGAAACAAAAUAUAUAUUCCUAGCAGUCCACAACCCUGAAAAUAACGUAUAUUAAGCCCACUGUGCAAACAAGGGGCUUCAGGAAUUGGAUUGCUUGCUGAACUCGUCUGUGGUGCCGUUCGUCUCCCUCCUCGUGCGAGUAUUGUAUUCAAUUUUUGUCAACAACUUCGUUUGCCUACAUAUUCUCCACCAUCAUCAUCAUCUUUAUCGUCAUCAUCGUAUCUUCUGUCGUCAGCGUGUCUACCGCGAGCAAGCAGAGGGGAAUGAGUGGAUAGAUGGGAACCCAAAUUGUCUAAAUGCGUUUUUUUGGGUGCAGCGAACGGCCUAGUAGUAAUUAAUUCCCCAUGGGCAACACUUUUUCUUGCAACGAGUGUGCAUAGGCAAGAAGAAAUCGAUUUACAUACUAUACUAUGGAAUGCCCCGAAUUCUAUUGUAUGGAAAAACUUCGCCAGAGACAAAUAUUAUUUCUGGCUUUUCUUGGGAAAAAAAGGGAAGGAAUCUCUUACAACUACAAUAAAUGCGCAAAAAAACAGUGAAAACUUGAUGGAGUGGAUACUUACGCAGGAUACUUGCUGCAUUUUGGUUCCACGCCUCAGAUAGAUGAGAAAUCAAUCUAGAAGGAAAUGGAGUGAAAGUAAAAUUAAAUAUAGGUUAAUGCAUAUGAAAAUUAUACAUAGGUGCGCCGCAAAUUU
rnacentral:lncRNA from 1 species